AACAUCGACAUUUCGAACGCACAUGCGGUCCUCGGAUACUCGUUCCCGGACCACUCCUGGCUGAGGGUCGUAUCAAUUUCAAAGACUGCUCGAUUCUCUUCUUUUGAAGAAAAUGUCGGAGCGCGUUGGAUGUAAUAACGCAUAUAUAAAAUAAUAUACGCGACAUCUUAAAAUGCGAAAGCAUUGUUUUUUUUUUUUAAAAAUUCAUACUUUUGUACACAACUUCACACGUAUGAGCACGAUUAUAAAAUAAUACUCUUGCAUACGAAUACUGAAUAUUUGUUGGUGAGAAUAUUUUAUAUAGUCGAUACUACUACUCUACACGGUCGUCGUGUCCGAGAGAGAAUAAUAUUUCGAAGACCAAGACGUCUGAUCUGUGUGUCUGUGUGGUUAGUAUAAAUGACAAAAUAAAGUUCAUUCUUACCGUAAACACAACAAAUCUAGUUUAUAUUGCAUGCUAAAGAGAAAUAUUUUAUAAUGAUAUCGUGUAUUGUGUGUUAAUAAAGUUGUAUACGAAUUUGAUAUAUAUUUAUUAUAUCGACCUCANAGCAGGUGANAUU
rnacentral:rRNA from 1 species